rnacentral:rRNA from 1 species
AGUGAACGCUGGCGGUAGGCCUAACACAUGCCAGUCGAACGGCAGCACAGUAAGAGCUUGCUCUUACGGGUGGCGAGUGGCGGACGGGUGAGGAAUACAUCGGAAUCUACUUUUUCGUGGGGGAUAACGUAGGGAAACUUACGCUAAUACCGCAUACGAUCUACGGGUGAAAGCAGGGGAUCUUCGGACCUUGCGCGAUUGAAUGAGCCGAUGUCGGAUUAGCUAGUUGGCGGGGUAAAGGCCCACCGAGGCGACGAUCCGUAGCUGGUCUGAGAGGAUGAUCAGCCACACUGGAACUGAGACACGGUCCAGACUCCUACGGGAGGCAGCAGUGGGGAAUAUUGGACAAUGGGCGCAAGCCUGAUCCAGCCAUACCGCGUGGGUGAAGAAGGCCUUCGGGUUGUAAAGCCCUUUUGUUGGGAAAGAAAAGCAGCAGGUUAAUACCCCGCUGUUCUGACGGUACCCAAAGAAUAAGCACCGGCUAACUUCGUG